GACGAACGCUGCGGCGUGCCUAAUACAUGCAAGUAGAACGCUGAAGGAGGAGCUUGCUUCUCUGGAUGAGUUGCGAACGGGUGAGUAACGCGUAGGUAACCUGCCUGGUAGCGGGGGAUAACUAUUGGAAACGAUAGCUAAUACCGCAUAAUAUUGACUAUUGCAUGAUAGUUGAUUAAAAGGUGCAAUUGCACCACUACCAGAUGGACCUGCGUUGUAUUAGCUAGUUGGUGAGGUAACGGCUCACCAAGGCGACGAUACAUAGCCGACCUGAGAGGGUGAUCGGCCACACUGGGACUGAGACACGGCCCAGACUCCUACGGGAGGCAGCAGUAGGGAAUCUUCGGCAAUGGACGGAAGUCUGACCGAGCAACGCCGCGUGAGUGAAGAAGGUUUUCGGAUCGUAAAGCUCUGUUGUAAGAGAAGAACGAGUGUGAGAGUGGAAAGUUCACACUGUGACGGUAUCUUACCAGAAAGGACGGCUAA
rnacentral:rRNA from 1 species